UGGAGCAUGUGGUUUAAUUCGAAGCAACGCGAAGAACCUUACCAGGUCUUGACAUCCUUUUGAAUGGUCUAGAGAUAGAUCAGGCCUUCGGGACAGAAGAGACAGGUGGUGCAUGGUUGUCGUCAGCUCGUGUCGUGAGAUGUUGGGUUAAGUCCCGCAACGAGCGCAACCCUUAUCAUUAGUUGCUAACAUUCAGUUGAGAACUCUAAUGAGACUGCCAGUGAUAAACUGGAGGAAGGUGGGGAUGACGUCAAAUCAUCAUGCCCCUUAUGACCUGGGCUACACACGUGCUACAAUGGCCGGUACAAAGAGUUGCGAAACUGUGAAGUUAAGCUAAUCUCAUAAAGCCGGUCUCAGUUCGGAUUGUAGUCUGCAACUCGACUACAUGAAGUCGGAAUCGCUAGUAAUCGCGAAUCAGCAUGCCGCGGUGAAUACGUUCCCGGGCCUU
rnacentral:rRNA from 1 species